rnacentral:rRNA from 1 species
CGGAGGGUGCAAGCGUUAUCCGGAUUCACUGGGUUUAAAGGGUGCGUAGGUGGGUUGGUAAGUCAGUGGUGAAAUCCCCGAGCUUAACUUGGGAACUGCCAUUGAUACUAUCAGUCUUGAAUAUUGUGGAGGUUAGCGGAAUAUGUCAUGUAGCGGUGAAAUGCUUAGAUAUGACAUAGAACACCAAUUGCGAAGGCAGCUGGCUACGCAUAUAUUGACACUGAGGCACGAAAGCGUGGGGAUCAAACAGGAUUAGAUAUCCUGGUAGUCCACGCCCUAAACUAUGGACUACUCGACAUCAGCGAUACACUGUUGGUGUCUGAGCGAAAGCAUUAAGUAUCCCACCUGGGAAGUACGAUCGCAAGAUUG